UGGGGAAUCUUGCGCAAUGCGCGAAAGCGUGACGCAGCAACGCCGCGUGAGGGAAGACGGCCUUCGGGUUGUAAACCUCUUUCAGGAGGGACGAAGGUUCAGGCGCGAAUAGCGUCCUGGACUGACGGUACCUCCAGAAGAAGCCCCGGCUAACUACGUGCCAGCAGCCGCGGUAAUACGUAGGGGGCUAGCGUUGUCCGGAAUCAUUGGGCGUAAAGCGCGCGUAGGCGGCCCGGUAAGUCCGCUGUGAAAGUCAAAGGCUCAACCUUUGAAUGUCAGCGGAUACUGCCGGGCUAGAGUCCGGAAGAGGCGAGUGGAACUCCUGGUGUAGCGGUGGAAUGCGCAGAUAUCAGGAAGAACACCAACGGCGAAGGCAGCUCGCUGGGACGGAACUGACGCUAAGGCGCGAAAGCGUGGGGAGCGAACAGGAUUAGAUACCCCCGUAGUCC
rnacentral:rRNA from 1 species